rnacentral:rRNA from 1 species
CCUACGGGAGGCAGCAGUGGGGAAUAUUGCGCAAUGGGCGAAAGCCUGACGCAGCGACGCCGCGUGAGGGAUGAAGGUCUUCGGAUCGUAAACCUCUGUCAGCAGGGAAGAACGGUCACUGUGCUAAUCAGCAGUGAAUUGACGGUACCUGCAAAGGAAGCACCGGCUAACUCCGUGCCCGCAGCCGCGGUAAUACGGAGGGUGCGAGCGUUAAUCGGAAUUACUGGGCGUAAAGCGCUCGUAGGCGGUAUGUCAAGUCAAGGGUGAAAUCCCCGCGCUCAACGUGGGAACUGCCUUUGAAACUGGCAAAAUGGAGUGUAUUAGAGGUUGGUGGAAUUCGAGGUGUAGGGGUGAAAUCCGUAGAUAUCUGGAGGAACAUCGGUGGCGAAGGCGACUAUCUGGCACAUAACUGACGCUGAGGAGCGAAAGCGUGGGUAGCAAACAGGAUUAGAUACCCCUGUAGUC